GACGAACCGUGCGAACGUUGUUCGGAAUCACUGGGCUUAAAGGGCGCGUAGGCGGGUUUGCAAGUCUGCGGUGAAAUCCUCCAGCUUAACUGGAGAAGUGCCGUGGAUACUGCGGAUCUCGAGGAGGGUAGGGGCAUCUGGAACGUUGGGUGGAGCGGUGAAAUGCGUUGAUAUCCAACGGAACUCCGGUGGCGAAGGCGAGGUGCUGGACCCUUUCUGACGCUGAGGCGCGAAAGCCAGGGGAGCAAAGCGGGG
rnacentral:rRNA from 1 species